AUGCUGGUCUACAGUCUGCCCUGGGUGUUCCUGGCCUUCAUCUUCUCUGGAUCCAGUGUAGCCCAGAUAGUUACUCAAGACCAGCCAUACAUUUCCAGUCCAGUUGGGGAGAUAGUCACACUGAGCUGUCGAUAUGAGACAACUCAGAGCAGUUACAACAUUUUUUGGUACAAACAACUUCCUAGUGGAGAGAUAAUUUACCUUAUUGGUUUGGGUUCUUCUAGCCAGAAUGCAAGGUAUGGUCUCUACUCUGUAAAUUUUAAGAGAUCACGUAAAUCCAUCAGUCUCGUGAUUUCAGACUUAGAGCUGGAAGACUCUGCAAAGUACUUCUCGCUCUCUGGGAACUCAGAGUGCUUGAAGUAA